rnacentral:miRNA from 3 species
UGCAGCUCUGGUGGAAAAUGGA